rnacentral:rRNA from 1 species
CCUACGGGGGGCAUCAGUGGGGAAUAUUGGACAAUGGGGGGAACCCUGAUCCAGCCAUGCCGCGUGUGUGAAGAAGGCCCUCGGGUUGUAAAGCACUUUCAGUGAGGAAGAACGCCUGGUGGUUAAUACCCAUCAGGAAAGACAUCACUCACAGAAGAAGCACCGGCUAACUCCGUGCCAGCAGCCGCGGUAAUACGGAGGGUGCGAGCGUUAAUCGGAAUUACUGGGCGUAAAGCGCGCGUAGGUGGCUUGAUAAGCCGGUUGUGAAAGCCCCGGGCUCAACCUGGGAACGGCAUCCGGAACUGUCAAGCUAGAGUGCAGGAGAGGAAGGUAGAAUUCCCGGUGUAGCGGUGAAAUGCGUAGAGAUCGGGAGGAAUACCAGUGGCGAAGGCGGCCUUCUGGACUGACACUGACACUGAGGUGCGAAAGCGUGGGUAGCAAACAGGAUUAGAUACCCCAGUAGUC